AAGAUUACUACCUGUUAACUGUUGGGUCUCUGGACAACUUUGAAUCCAGGUUGAACUGUGGUUCUUAAACUGGGUCAAAAAUGCCAAGCCAAACACGGAAACAGGAAUUUUGUGACAAUUGUGAAGGUGAUUGAAAAGGUACCAAAGUUUACAAACAGUACUUCAAAUAAUCUCCCAUUCCAAGAGUCAUAGGUAUUAAAAUAGAAUAUGGAAGCCCAUUUACGCCACUUUGAUGAAAAAACAAAAACACAAAAACAUAUCUCAUAAUUAUGAGAUAGCUUGAAUUGGCUCCCUUGCAUUGUAAGGAGACAGGUGAGACGCUUGGCUAGAUAUAAAGAAAUGAAUGUUGAUAACAUCAUUGAGCAAUAAUUUAGAAGGGGUUUUACAAAUCUUGAAAUCUUGAAAGUUUUGGAAGAAUCCCAUAAUGUUAAAUUAAGCUUCCAGGCAUUGGAGAGAAGACUGCAAAAGAAAUGCCUUUGGCGGAGAAAAAACAAGACAGAUGAUGCAGAAGUGACCGCUUUCAUUGAACAACAACUGCAAGGAUCUGGUAGACAGCAUGGUGGAUGCACCAGAAAUGUUCGAUUUCUGGGACAGUCACAGACAGAGAAACAGUACAUCUUAUGAUGCGCCUGAUGGAUCCAAAUGGGGUUGACCUGCGUGCACGAAAUCACUUGAGACGACGCUUGUAUGUCAGUCGUGGACCAAACUAUGUAUGGCACAUUGAUGGGUAUGACAAACUGAAGCCUUAUGGAAUAUGUAUUAAGGGAUGCAUAGAUGGCUUCUCGAGGAAAAUGAUCUGGUUAGAAGCAUGUUAAACUAACACUGACCCUCGCAUUAUUACUGGCUAUUUCAUUGAUGCUGUGAUGGAGUGCAAUGGAUGUCCACAAAAGGUCAGAGUGGAUCAUGGCACAGAGAACACUCAUGUUGCGGCGAUGCAAAGAUAUCUGCACAACGAGGAGGAAAAUGGUUUUGACUGUGUUAUCCUUGGUCCGAGUACUGGAAAUCAGAGGAUAGAACGAUGGUGGUGCACCUUAAGAAGUGAAUGUGCCCAGUUUUGGAUGGACCAUUUUGACCAACUGAAAGCUGAUGGCUAUUUUGUUGACAGCUUUUUGGACAAAUCACUGAUUCAGUUUUGCUUCCUACAAACAAUACAGAUGGAGCUGGAUGAAGUUGUCAAUGCGUGGAAUGACCAUCGUAUACGAUCUACAAAUAAUCCUCGGGCUCAGAACGGUCGCCCCACAUUAAUGCAUGCUGUUCCCAACCUGUAUGGGGCUCCAAAUUUUCUACAGCCUGCCAGCCAAACAGAGCUAGAAAUAUGUCUAGAGGAAUGUCUUUUCAAGGACUUUCCCUGUGAUGUUGAUGUGUUUCACUUAUGCACCGAACUCAUGACAGAGCAAACUGGUAAUGUCAGAUGAUGUGUACGAAAUUACUAAUCUUUAUGUAAGACUCCGUCAAAUGAUUAGUGAUGGACUGGGGGAAUAGAUUCUCCAAAUCACCCCUGCUCCACAAAAACUACAAAGCUUAUAUUAUUUAAAUAUUGCCCGUGUAAACACCAUGUGUCAUUGAAAUAAGGCUAAAUUGCAUGUGUGAUACAGAUUUGUUCUGUUUUACUUAAAAAGACUAAUACAUUUUAACUUCCUUCAAAGUAGAAGUCAAGGUCGCCCUAUUAAUCCCUAUGUAUUUAAUGUAAUAUGCCUGUAAAAUAGUACCCUCUAGUUCAAAACUAGACUCAGUAGUGCCAAAAUAUUAUGGUUAUCCCUUUUCUUUAAUUUUUCAGGGGAAUAUUGCUUAAAUGGACAGUGGUGUUACAAGUACAAGCAAUGUUUUAAUCAGGUUAUUCCUAACAGAUUACUGUGACAUUUUCCUAUCAACAUGUUAUUGUUUGUAAUUUUGUUACUGUUUUGUUUAUUUGAUAAGAGAGCAUAUGACAUAUUACUCUUCACAUUUAUAUUUCAGUCUUUUUGUGAUUCCAAAUAAAUUUCUUUACAGUGCAACAGCUACUCAAAAACAGAUUCUACAUGGCACUCAAAAUCAUUUAUUUUGUAUUCUGCCAACAAAGAACAGUCCAUUUUCUUGACAUUCCCAAAAAUAAAUCACAAGUGCUUCAAAAAUACUCAUCUUAGUGUGCACACAUUUAAUAAGCUUAACAUAACAGAAGGUGGGGGAAGUAAAACAUUACAAAAAAUACCCUGUUUAUAACCUUCCACAAAAAACCCAAAACAUAACAAAAACAGAAACACAAUAUCCAAUGUGCAAAAAAGAAUAAAUUUCAGAAAAAAUAUUUUUAUAUAAUUAUGAAUGCAAUGUAACAAGUACAAGUAUCAAAACAGUUUUAUCAGAAAAAGAUUCAACUAAACCAUUCCCGUUACUGUUUUUUGUGGCUAUGAUCUUCUAAACAUGUCCUGCAGUGAUUUUCAUAUUACUUAUGUUUUGAUGUGUCAGGUAACAACAUGUUAACUGUGGCAGAACAAAAGUCAACUACAUUUUGUUGUUUGGCAUCAAGGCUUUUCAAUGCCAAUUUUUAGCUGUACAAGUGCUCCCCUUAAUGUUGACAGGUCUGAACAUGAAGAACUUGUGCAUGUGUAUCCCUAAUCAUUAAGAUAAGCUACAAUUACGUAAUUAACCUUAAAUGCUGCAUAUUUUACAACCAAAAAAUUAAACAUUUGCACAGCGAAAGAGCAAAAAAAAAAAAAAAUUUGGUAGCCAUAAAUAUUUUUAUCUUUCUUUGAGAUAAUGUGGACAAUGUCAAUUAUGUGCUAAUAAUCUUACAUUACAAAUGGUAAACUGAGUAAGGUUCUUUGUGUAUAAAUAAAAUGUAAUAAUGUAAUGAAACUUGUGGCACAGACAACUGACAGAUAUUAUAAGAUUUAAUAAAGGUUUAAAGGUAGUUCUUCUAAGGUCAACAAGAACUCUUUGCAAUUCAAAUAAAAAUUGCUUCAAUA